rnacentral:rRNA from 1 species
GACGAACGCUGGCGGCGUGCUUAACACAUGCAAGUCGAGCGGUAAGGCUCCUUCGGGAGUACACGAGCGGCGAACGGGUGAGUAACACGUGAGCAAUCUGCCCUUCUCUUCGGAAUAACCAUUGGAAACGAUGGCUAAUGCCGCAUAUGACCUCCUUUCGCAUGUUUGGAGGUGGAAAGCUCCGGCGGAGAAGGAUGAGCUCGCGGCCUAUCAGCUUGUUGGUGAGGUAAUGGCUCACCAAGGCAUUGACGGGUAGCCGGCCUGAGAGGGUGACCGGCCACACUGGGACUGAGACACGGCCCAGACUCCUACGGGAGGCAGCAGUGGGGAAUAUUGGACAAUGGGCGAAAGCCUGAUCCAGCAACGCCGCGUGAGGGAUGACGGCCUUCGGGUUGUAAACCUCUUUCAGCAGGGACGAAGCGAAAGUGACGGUACCUGCAGAAGAAGGACCGGCCAACUACGUGCCAGCCGCCGCCGUAAUAC